CGUAGUUCAUUUACUUUAUUCAAUUUAGGACCUCCCUUAAUUUGGCAAACAUACAAGGCCAUAACUAAAGGGUGUAUACGUCAUGGAAAUUUUCCUGACUUAGUUCAAGAUGGCAUCUUAAAGUCUGAAUAGGUUAUCUGUUGUUUAAACUAAGUCGUAAGUGUACAGUCGUGGGAGAUUCCCGGAUUUGGGGAAGUUCCAUUAACUUGGGGUUACCACAGUAUAUUGUGUACUGCAAGAGUCGUAGUAUAGCC
rnacentral:lncRNA from 1 species